rnacentral:tRNA from 1 species
UGCAUCGGCCGGGAAUCGAACCCGCGUGGCAGGCGAGUAUUUAACCACUGAACUACCGAUGC